rnacentral:rRNA from 1 species
UNGGAGAGGAAAGUGGAAUUCNUAGUGUAGCGGUGAAAUGCGUAGAUAUUAGGAAGANCACCAGUGGCGAAGGCGACUUUCUGGACGAAAACUGACGCUGAGGCGCGAAAGCCAGGGGAGCGAACGGGAUUAGAUACCCCGGUAGUCCUGNCCGUAAACGAUGGGUACUAGGUGUAGGAGGUAUCGACCCCUUCUGUGCCGGAGUUAACGCAAUAAGUACCCCGCCUGGGGAGUACGACCGCAAGGUUGAAACUCAAAGGAAUUGACGGGGGCCCGCACAAGCGGUGGAGUAUGUGGUUUAAUUCGACGCAACGCGAAGAACCUUACCAGGUCUUGACAUUGAUGGACAGAACCAGAGAUGGUUCCUCUUCUUCGGAAGCCAGAAAACAGGUGGUGCACGGUUGUCGUCAGCUCGUGUCGUGAGAUGUUGGGUUAAGUCCCGCAACGAGCGCAACCCCUAUCUUAUGUUGCCAGCACUUUGGGUGGGAACUCAUGAGAGACUGCCGCAGACAAUGCGGAGGAAGGCGGGGAUGACGUCAAAUCAUCAUGCCCCUUAUGACCUGGGCUACACACGUACUACAAUGGGAGUUAAUAGACGGAAGCGAGAUCGCGAGAUGGAGCAAACCCGAGAAACACUCUCUCAGUUCGGAUCGUAGGCUGCAACUCGCCUACGUGAAGUCGGAAUCGCUAGUAAUCGCAGGUCAGCAUACUGCGGUGAAUACGUUCCCGGGCCUUGUACACACCGCCCGUCACACCACGAAAGUCGGAAGUGCCCAAAGCCG